GUGACGUGCUGCGGGUCGGCAGCGCCGGGCUGCGGACCCGGCCGAUGCGGGUGUUCCUGUCCGCGCUCGGCAUCGCGAUCGGCAUC
rnacentral:tRNA from 1 species